rnacentral:misc_RNA from 1 species
GAUGAAGAACGUAGCGAAAUGCGAUAAGUAAUGUGAAUUGCAGAAUUCAGUGAAUCAUCGAAUCUUUGAACGCACCUUGCACCCUUUGGCAUUCCGAAGGGUAUGCUCGUUUGAGUGUCAUUGUACUCUCACACUUCCAAUUCUUUGGAUUGGGAGCGGUGGACUUGGGUGCUGCUGCUUACCGUGGCUCACCUCAAAUGUGUUAGUGCAACCGUUGGUUAGACAUAGUACAGCGUGAUAAGUAUCUUCGCUGGCGCCUCACUCGAGGGUGGCUGAUCAGGGCUCUGUGCGCCCAAUCGUCUUCGGACAAUCACUGACAACUUGACCUCAAAUCGAGUAGGACUACCCGCUGAACUUAAGCAUAUCAAUAAGCGGAGGA